rnacentral:rRNA from 1 species
UACGUAGGGGGCAAGCGUUGUCCGGAAUUAUUGGGCGUAAAGCGCGUGUAGGCGACCAGAAAAGUCCGCUGUGAAAACUCGAGGCUCAACUUCGAGCUGUCGGUGGAAACUUUCUGGCUAGAGUCCGGAAGAGGAGAAUGGAAUUCCUGGUGUAGGCGGUGAAAUGCGCAGAUAUCAGGAAGAACACCCGUGGCGAAGGCGGUUCUCUGGGACGGUACUGACGCUGAGACGCGAAAGCGUGGGGAGCGAACAGG